rnacentral:rRNA from 1 species
GACUAACGCUGGCGGCAUGCUUUACACAUGCAAGUCGAACGGUAACAGGCCGCAAGGUGCUGACGAGUGGCGAACGGGUGAGUAAUGCAUCGGAACGUGCCCAGUCGUGGGGGAUAACUGCUCGAAAGAGCAGCUAAUACCGCAUACGAUCUAUGGAUGAAAGCGGGGGACCGUAAGGCCUCGCGCGAUUGGAGCGGCCGAUGUCAGAUUAGGUAGUUGGUGGGGUAAAGGCUCACCAAGCCAACGAUCUGUAGCUGGUCUGAGAGGACGACCAGCCACACUGGGACUGAGACACGGCCCAGACUCCUACGGGAGGCAGCAGUGGGGAAUUUUGGACAAUGGGGGCAACCCUGAUCCAGCAAUGCCGCGUGCAGGAAGAAGGCCUUCGGGUUGUAAACUGCUUUUGUACGGAACGAAACGGUCUGGGUUAAUACCCUGGGCUAAUGACGGUACCGUAAGAAUAAGCACCGGCUAACUACGUGCCAGCCGCCGCGGUAA